AGCAGUGGGGAAUUUUGGACAAUGGGCGCAAGCCUGAUCCAGCCAUGCCGCGUGCAGGAUGAAGGCCUUCGGGUUGUAAACUGCUUUUGUACGGAACGAAAAGACUCUGGUUAAUACCUGGGGUCCAUGACGGUACCGUAAGAAUAAGCACCGGCUAACUACGUGCCAGCAGCCGCGGUAAUACGUAGGGUGCGAGCGUUAAUCGGAAUUACUGGGCGUAAAGCGUGCGCAGGCGGUUAUAUAAGACAGAUGUGAAAUCCCCGGGCUCAACCUGGGAACUGCAUUUGUGACUGUAUAGCUAGAGUACGGCAGAGGGGGAUGGAAUUCCGCGUGUAGCAGUGAAAUGCGUAGAUAUGCGGAGGAACACCGAUGGCGAAGGCAAUCCCCUGGGCCUGUACUGACGCUCAUG
rnacentral:rRNA from 1 species